UUUAUGGGGUCUGUGGGGACUGUAUGGGAUUUUAUGGGGUUUUGUGGGGUCUAGAUGGGAUUUUAUGGGGUUUUGGGGUCUGCAUGGGGUCUGGAUGGGGUUUUGGGGUCUGGAUGGGGUCUGGAUGGGAUUUUUUGGGGUUUGUGGGGUCUGUAUGGGAUUUUAUGGGGUCUGGAUGGGAUUUAUUUGGUCUGUGGGGUCUGUAUGGGAUUUUAUGGGAUUUUAUGGGGUCUGUAUGGGAUUUAUGGGGUCUGUAUGGGAUUUUAUGGGGUCUGUAUGGGAUUUAUGGGGUUUUAUGGGGGCUGUAUGGGAUUUUAUGGGGUCUGUAUGGGAUUUAUGGGGUUUUAUGGGGGGCUGUAUGGGGUUUUGUGGGGUCUGUAUGGGAUUUUAUGGGGUUUUGGGGUCUGUAUGGGAUUUUAUGGGGCUUGGGGGUCUGUGGGGUCUGGAUGGGGUUUGAAUGGGAUUUUAUGGGGUCUGUGGGGUCUGUAUGGGGUUUGUGGGGUCUGGAUGGGAUUUUAUGGGAUUUAUGGGGUCUGUGGGGACUGUAUGGGAUUUUAUGGGGUUUUGUGGGGUCUAGAUGGGAUUUUAUGGGGUCUGUGGGGUCUGUAUGGGGUUUUGGGGUCUGUAUGGGAUUUUAUGGGAUUUAUGGGGUCUGUGGGGUCUAUAUGGGAUUUAUGGGGUUUUAUGGGGUCUGUAUGGGAUUUUAUGGGGUUUUGGGGUCUGUAUGAGAUUUUAUGGGGUCUGUGGGGUCUGGAUGGGAUUUUAUGGGAUUUAUGGGGUCUGUAUGGCAUUUUAUGGGGUUNNNNNNNNNNNNNNNNNNNNNNNNNNNNNNNNNNNNNNNNNNNNNNNNNNNNNNNNNNNNNNUCUGGAUGGGAUUUUAUGGGAUUUAUGGGGUCUGUGGGAUCUGGAUGGGAUUUUAUGGGGGCUGUGGGGUUUGGAUGGGAUUUUAUGGGGUUUUGGGGUCUGUAUGGGGUUUUGGGGUCUGUAUGAGGUUUGUAUGUGAUUUUAUGGGGUUUGUGGGGUCUGGAUGGGAUUUGUGGGGUUUGUAUGGGAUUUAUUGGUCUGUAUGGGGUCUGUAUGGGGUUUAUAGGUUCUGUAUGGGAUUUUAUGGGGUUUUGGCGUCUAUAUGGUGUCUGUGUGGGGUUUGUGGGGUCUGUAUGGGAUUUUAUGGGAUUUAUGGGGUCUGUGGGGUCUGGAUGGGAUUUAUGGGGUUUUGUGGGGUCUAGUUGGGAUUUUAUGGGGUUUGUGGGGUCUGUAUGGGGUUUUGGGGUCUGUAUGGGAUUUUAUGGGAUUUAUGGGGUUUGUGGGGUCUGUAUGGGAUUUUAUGGGGGCUGUGGGGUUUGGAUGGGAUUUUAUGGGGUCUGUGGAGUCUGUAUGGGGUUUUGGGGUCUGUAUGAGGUUUGUAUGUGAUUUUAUGGGGUUUGUGGGGUCUGGAUGGGAUUUGUGGGGUUUGUAUGGGAUUUAUUGGUCUGUAUGGGGUCUGUAUGUGGUUUAUAGGUUCUGUAUGGGAUUUUAUGGGGUUUUGCGGUCUAUAUGGGGUCUGUGUGGGGUUUGUGGUGUCUAUAUGGGAUUUUAUGGGGUUUUGUGGGGUUUUGGGGGUCUGUAUGGGAUUUUAUGGGGUUUGUAGGGUCUGUAUGGGAUUUUCUGGGGUUUUGGGGUCUGUAUGGUGUCUGUACGGGGUUUGUGGGGUUUGUGGGGUCUGUAUGG
rnacentral:lncRNA from 1 species